UAGGGAAUCUUCCGCAAUGGACGCAAGUCUGACGGAGCAACGCCGCGUGAGUGAAGAAGGAUUUCGGUUCGUAAAACUCUGUUGUUAGAGAAGAACAGCGCAUAGAGUAACUGUUAUGCGUGUGACGGUAUCUAACCAGAAAGCCACGGCUAACUACGUGCCAGCAGCCGCGGUAAUACGUAGGUGGCAAGCGUUGUCCGGAUUUAUUGGGCGUAAAGCGAGCGCAGGCGGUCAAUUAAGUCUGAUGUGAAAGCCCCCGGCUCAACCGGGGAGGGUCAUUGGAAACUGGUUGCCUUGAGUGCAGAAGAGGAGAGUGGAAUUCCAUGUGUAGCGGUGAAAUGCGUAGAUAUAUGGAGGAACACCGGUGGCGAAAGCGGCUCUCUGGUCUGUAACUGACGCUGAGGCUCGAAAGCGUGGGGAGCGAACAGG
rnacentral:rRNA from 1 species